CCUACGGGACGCAGCAGUGAGGAAUAUUGGUCAAUGGGCGUAAGCCUGAACCAGCCAAGUCGCGUGAGGGACGACGGCCCUACGGGCUGUAAACCUCUUUUGCCGGGGGACAAACGGCGGCACGCGUGCCGUCCUGAGGGUACCCGGAGAAAAAGCAUCGGCUAACUCCGUGCCAGCAGCCGCGGUAAUACGGAGGAUGCGAGCGUUAUCCGGAUUUAUUGGGUUUAAAGGGUGCGUAGGCGGGAUGCCAAGUCAGCGGUAAAAAUGCGGUGCUCAACGCCGUCGAGCCGU
rnacentral:rRNA from 1 species